UUCGCAUUAUGCAUGGGUGUAAAUCUUGACUUCUCUUUAGUUUUUUUGUUUUCCUUUCUCUUUCUAUUCUCUCCUUCCCGUUCUUCUUUUGCAUGGCCUCAGUCUGCAUGCCUCUGUCGCCGUCAGACUUGGAGAUUGACUGUGAUCUGCUCUUGGUUUCCAAAGCCUACAAUCUUGGCCAAGAGGAGACAGACUGGUUUGAGAAGCCCAGGGACCUGCGCUCCGGCUCCCGUCACUACGGCAGUGGAGGCCACUCCUCGUCCGGCCGCAGCCGCCACGUCAAGCACACCUACCACGACUACGAGGAGCCCACAGAGGAGGACCUGUGGCCCCAGGACGAGUAUGGCCAAGCCCGUCACUCCUCCUCGCGGGACCACCGCCCCCACGGCAGCGGCAGCUCCGGGAGACACUCCUCUACGUCCCGCCACUCGGACGAGCCCCGCUCCGCUCGCUCCUCCAAGGGCCAUCCCAAAGACCCGUCCAUGCGCCACGACUCCCGCCAGUUGUCCUCGUCGGGAAAGAGGGGCGACACCCGCUCCCAGGGGGGGUAUCACUCGUCAGACUACUCCAGGGACCCCUCGGGCCACCACCACAGCCAGGGCCGCUCCACCAAGUCCUCGUCCUCUCACGAUGGGCGGACUUCCUCCAGGAAGCAGCAGGACCUCCAGGGCUACACUUCCUCUACCUCCAGGGGCCAGGGCAGCUCUGGACGUGGGCAGGGCUCCACCAGUGGGCCUCCUGGCUCCAGGGGACAGGGUCCUACCUCCCAGCAGGACGGGCUGCAGCCAGGCCAACGCACCCAGCUGCAGCAGCAGCCCCAGACCUCGGCGGCACGGCAGACAGGCACCAUCCCUGCAGGCACCACUCCUGGGGGCCAGCAGCCUCUGGGCCCGGGCCAAGCCCAGCAGGGUCUACAGGCGAAGCCUGGUCAGCUUGGUCCUGGUCAGGCCAGUCGCCAGCCACAGGCAGGAGGCGCACUGGGGCAACUGCCACCAACUGUGGCACCUGUCGCAAACACACCCCCUGUGACUGCCAUAGGGGCCAAAGCUGUCAUAGGAGGGGCGGCCCAGCCUGCAAAAACACCUCAACCCCCACUCACAGGAAUAGGCUCCAAGGCCGCCCCUAGACCCGGUGGCAUUGGGAGCGCGGCAGCGGGUCAACCUGGGAUGGAGGGGGAGAGUCUCCUCUCCAAGGUCCUACCAGGAAACCCUGCGGAGGCAGCAGGAAAACUAGGAGAAGCUAUCUCCGGUUUCGGCAAGAAGUUCACCUCGUUGUGGUGAGGUGUUGAGAUGAGGGUGUCUGUAAAUGUUAUGGAGGAUGUCGUGAGGCUUCGUACCAGAAAAACCUAGGAAGACCCCGCUUUGUUUUACUGUGAGAGAGAGAGAGAGAGAGAGAGGGAGGGAGGGAGAAAUACAGCGACCAAGAGAAGAUAUCUGAGUGCACUGCCAAUGAGGACAGGAAUCAAUGGAUGCUGCAUGUACCAGGUCUAUGCACACAAUGGGAGAGAAACAAUGCUGAUUUCUCUGGCCGGCCAGACAAACGGUUUGAGGCCCCCAGACUGCAAUGCCCCCAGCCAAAGAACAAGGACACUGACACCUGAGCCCCCCUGAACACCUAAGCCAUCACAAGCCCUGAGGAUCCCUCCAGAGAGAGGCUAGCUGGAUAGAGAGCCUGAUCCCUGCCACUAUCUGGGUCUUCACCACCAGGAUGUCUCCUCAAGAACCAUCACCUCCCAAACAGCCAUUAUCCUUUGGGGAAUGGGCUCUAUACUAAGGAAUACUCCACCCAGCUGCUCUAUAGGAGCAUGGAAAGGGGCCGUAGUACUGUGACCCCGCAACACGCUAAUGAUGCUAUC